UUCACCAAAUUCAUUCAUUUUUAACCUUAGUACAACUUUAUUCAACAUAUAUUACAUACAAAGAUGCUACUACUUACUACUACAAUUACUACUACUACUAAUAAUAAUAGACUCCUCAUACCACCUUGUUGUUUCAAGAAACAUUAUCGCCUUUAAGCUCUCCGAAUUCUGGCAAAAUGAUAAACAAAACGACGAUUGAGUAAUUCAGAUCACAUGGGAAAUGGAUUUGAAUUAUUUAUUGCCUCCAUUUAUAGAAGAAAAGGGUUGUGGGGAUCAUAGAAAUUAAUUAUAUGUAAUUUGUUAAUAUUUAGUUGUAAAGAGUUAGUGGUAGCUUAGUUAGUUAGUGGUUGUUAUGCUGAGCUUUCAACACUUAGCUGUCCAUAAAAGGAGCACAUUGUAUAGCCUAGUUAUAUGAAAUUGAGAUUCUUUCUACUUGUAAUAAUCUUCUCUCUACAAUUUCAUGAUUUAUAGCUUUAACAUGGUAUCAGAGAGAAGGUUCUAGAAGAUCAUUGUAUCAAUAAGUGAAGCUCCAACAAAGAAAAAAUAGAAGAACUAAUGUUCCAGUGACUCUUUGAGCUAUUGUUUAACACAGAUUCUUUGAUUCAGAGCACAUCAAAGAAUUUCCAAUUGAAUCUCGAGGUUGUGGAAGGUUGAAUUUCAAGAAAAUUACUCAGAAUUCACUGUAAUUGCUUGAAAUCAUGACUAUUGAGGUGGUAUAUAACUCAGUCAGAGGAUCGACUUCACAUGAAACUACUUAGGUGGAGGAUCAGAUUAAUCACAACCAUCCGCUAUAUAUUUAUCCUUCUAAUACUUAAGGAGCUCUUCACUGAAAAGGUGAUAGGGAUUGGUAAAAAGGAGGACGGAUUAUAUAUGCUAUAUGGACACACCACAAUAUAGUACCAAAAGGAAACAAACACCUGCGAAGACUCAAAGUAGCAGUCUGUAGCAUUAGCUGAUUGUAGUAUACAAAAUAUCAUUAAACUCAGUAAUAGUGCUAUUAGUACUGAUUUUAACUUACUAUGGCAUAGAAGACUAAGGCAUGCACCUUUGAAAGUUCUUAAGAAUGUUAGUAUCUUGAACUCUUCUCUUCUUAAGGAAUAUGUAUGUAUUGUUUGUCCUAUUGCAAAGCAAAUAAGACUUUCUUUUCCUAUAA